rnacentral:rRNA from 1 species
GACAGAGGGUGCAAACGUUGUUCGGAAUUACUGGGCGUAAAGCGUGUGUAGGCGGCCACGUAAGUCGGAUGUGAAAGCCCCAGGCUCAACCUGGGAAGUGCACUCGAUACUGCGUGGCUUGAGUAUCGGAGAGGUUGGUGGAAUUCUCGGUGUAGCGGUGAAAUGCGCAGAUAUCAGGAGGAACACCAAUGGCGAAGGCAGCUCGCUGGGACGUGACUGACGCUGAGACGCGAAAGCGUGGGGAGCAAACAGG